ACUUUGUAUUCUGGUUUUUUUCGAGUUGAAUACUUUAUAAAAAAAAUGUUUCCUAUCACUUACUAUACCAACCUAAUUUAAAAAAAAAUGCUUUAAUGAAUGAUUAAUAGUGACAUGGUGCGAUGCCAGUGCAUUACAAGAGAGAUUUCUAGUAUAAUCUGGCACUUUACGUUAAUAUUGAUUUAAUUACUGAAUUUUGAAAGUCUGUUAAAUUUCGGCACUAUAAGCAAAAAUCUGGACAAAAACUGUGUAUGACCAAUACCCGCAUAGCAAAAAACUCUACCUCAAAAAAUCAAAACGAUAAUCGAACAUCUACAGAAACUGUGAUUGUUUAUAGAAACAUAGCUAUUAAGUAAAACUAUUCAAAUAAAAUAAAUAAAUUUUGAAUAAAACUAUUCAAACCAAACCUUCACGUUUGAAUAAAAAGUUACGAUAUUAGUUAGGCUUAACUUACUGUUUGGACUAUUAACGAAAGCUUUUUGUUAACCGUAAAAAGCAUGCCGAACGAUUACAUCUAACGUUCAUAUAAAUUUGACACUUCUCGAUUUUCGGGAUGACACUGACAGUUGUCAUGUUUCGAGAAGAAGAAAAAAAGAAUAAGAAAUUUUAAAAAAAGAUUUGCUGGCGAAUUCGCAGCCAGCAGCAGUUUUGAAGGAAAUUUCGGUACCGUAGCUGCAUCAACGUACCGGAAUGCCGGCGCACCGGGAGCAGAAAUCAGUGCAGCCCAGCAGUUAGGCUAAUAAUUUCAGUUUUUCAGUGUCGUCGAUGCUGCUCUCUUAUGCAGCUCAAGUCCGCCGCCGAGGGGAUUUCGCUCGCUGGUGGCGCUAUGGCAUUGCAAAGGUUUCGAAACUAAUUUGUCACCUAUCUGUAUGGACUUGAAUUACCCACUUCAUUCACCAUAUAACACUGUAGAACUACGGAAGCCGCAGCCCAGGUCAGAGGAUUAAUAAAAAAAACAAUACCCUGUAUGCAAGUAAGUUUAAAUAUAAAAAUUAAACGUAAAGUGAAAUUAUAUUACUUUUUAUGAAAUCCGAAAAUCCAAAAAAAUAAAGUUCCCUUUUAGUGCGUCCGCCAUUAUUGCGUACGGUUCUCAUAACCAUCAGUAUAACGUUGGAAGAACAUUUUGUGAAAUCGUAUCAUAACUGUUACUGUAAACGCUCAGUAACAAGCGAACUUUAAAAAUAACUAUAACAAUAACGGUUUGAAUGUCUAAAUAUGUUUCCUAAAGGGGUUUUGAGACUUUAGUUCAACUGUUUGUAGAACAGUUUUUCCAUGGAAGUGUUUUAACAGUUUUUAACAGUUACAUAACCUAACGACAUAUUAAAAAUACAGUCAAUUUGUAAUUCACGAUUGAAGCAAUGUAUUUUACAAUUUCAAUUAUCGUUUGCUUAACUUUUUUUUACACUUCAUCAAAUCUUCGAUUGACUUUUUCUGAAAUCGUUCAGAUAUAAUCCUAAUUUAUGCGGGUAUCUUUACGAAGGGUCAAAAGUCUGUGUUUUGCAGACAAAUCUGGGGACAUGGCAACCCAGUACAUUUGUGUGACCCAGGGCGUGUACAGCUUCGGGUGUGUUCUUAUACCAACCCUGUCAGGAACGUUUGCUCAAUCGGGCCGAUUGCAAAACAGACAUGGCGGUACUCGAAUUCUAGCGGUUAGAAUUCGGUCGGUUAUCGGCUCGAUUUCCAUCCGCCUGCUCGAUUGCUCGAAAACAGACGAUAUUUAUCGCAGUGCUGCAUGAACAAAACGAAACACAGGCAGUUUUCAAUCGCAGCAAUAUGGGUGCGUGUUUCGUUUUGGUGCGUGAUUGUUGUGAAUUGUGUUGUGAAAUUUGGUCGCAGUUCUGUUUCUGCCGUUUUCGCUGUUUCUUUUCAGAAAUGCUUUUAGCGGUAUGUAGAAGCCAUUGUCCGGCGAUAAUUUAAUAAAAAGCGAGGUAUGUUUGAUUGAUUGAAUUCUUAAUAAUCAAGUUUUAUUUAUAUCAUUUUCUAACCCUUAAUUGUCCCCAUAGAAAACAUCGAACCAUGCAAACAAAGCUUCCAAAGAAAUGUCCACACUGUACAGGCUCUGGUGGAAUGCUAUCCCGGACAUCGUAUCCGGAUCCGGAUCCCGGACACGCUCUAAGGUGGGUGCCCAAGCAACCAAAAGUCGCGUUUUUACUUAACUCCGAACUCCGAAGUUCACAUUUGGCUGAAAAAAUGUUUUACGGGAACUUCAGGUGACUCUUGUCGCGUAAAAGUUACUCAGGAACUUCUAUCGCCCUUUGAAAGGAUAAACUAUCGAUAACGGAACUUCUAAGCGCAUUCAAUAGAACUACUUUCAAGAAGGUCGAUAACGUUCGCGUAACAUUCUAAAACGUACCAUUAAGAUACUUGAAGGUGUUUUGAAGAACCUAUAUGGGAAUACUAAGCGACAUGUCAAAAAUGUCUUUCAAGAAGGUCGAUAACGUUCGCGUAACAUCCUAAAACGCACCAUUAAGAUACUUGAAGGUGUUUUAAAGAACCUAUAUGGGAAUUCUAAGCGACAUGUCAAAACUGUCUGUCAAUUUCUUGUCAUGGUAUUUGUUUUGUUUAUAUCUGUACUGAUAUUUACCAAAGGAAUUCAAGAUUUUUUCGAAUUUUUCUUAUAAAUGUUAAGAUAUUCGAAUAAAUUUUUGAUGAUGCGAAUUAUUGUUAUUAUUCAUAUUGUGUACUGAAAGUCCUUCAAACGACAUAAGGAACAAACUAUUGACCAACCUAUUCAAUCAUCUCAAAUGAUAUUGAGUUUAAAUACUAAUUAUUACAAUGGCAAUGAUCUAUUGCUGGAUUGGUCGAGAGGCUGGUGAGUUUCAUCGCAAUCUAGAGAGCAGCGGUUCAAUUCCCUAGGCGUGUAAGCAGAUUUUGUAAUCAAAACAAUAUAAUUAAAACCAAUGAGAUAGACCAUGAUAGACCGGCAACCUAGCAAUCUGACAUCUGGUUGUCAGAACAAUCUGUCAAUCGGAUUUUUUUUUCGGCGCGUAGAAGUUUCUUGACAUUCUCUUAGAAGCUGAAUAGCGUUCUCUUCAGCCACCUAAACGAACUUGAAAGUAGCUUUAAGAACUUAAAUUUUGGGCUGAUUAGCAUUCCCUUCAGACACAAACGAGAGCUGAUUAAGCUUCUGUGGAACCUUUUUAAGGGAAUUCUGGUUGCUUGGGUGGCUUCCCUUGGAUUACUUUUAAUCAGUUUUCGGUGUGAUCCUUCAAAAGGGAAGCAAUGUCACAAUUAUUUACUAUUUACUUAUUAAAAUGAUCUUUUUCAAGAUUGAAAUUUUAAUUUUUGUGGAUCAAUUCAAGAAACAAAUUUCGAAAAUGUUUGAUUUAUUGAGUUCUAAAUAAUCAAGUUUUAUCAAUAUAAUUUUCUAACCCGUUAUCGUCCCCAUAGAAAACAUCGAUCCAUCGAAUUCCAAGUAAAUGUCCACACGGUACGGUAUCCAGAUCCGGAUCCCAGGCACGCUCAGAGGUGGUGGCUUCACUUGGAUUACUUUUCAUCAAUUUUCGGUGUUAUACUUCAAAAGGAAAGCAAGGUGAGUACCGUUGUCACAAUUAUUUACUAUCUACUUAUUAAACUGAUCUUUUUCAAGAUUUAAAUUUUUUUUUGUGGAUCCAAUCUAUAAACACAAGAAAAAUAUUGAUAAUUACGUGUAACUGAAAGUUGUUGCCUUUAAAACAAUUCAACAAGUAAUGGAGAAAAAAAAUCGUUUUGAUUUAGCACUUCACACCAAAAAAUUUAUAAAAUUACAUGCGACAGAAACGUUUGAACACCUAAUUGUUUCUUGAUCUAAUCUAACACAGAUUUAAUUUUACAUCACUUGAAAUCUAAAUCACACACACUUUAGAACAAAUUUCUUUGGCUAGCUUGUGUGUGUUUAUUUGUUAAUAAACAUAUUUGAUUUUGUCAAUCAAUUUCCAUAGCCAUUCCAUGUUUUAUAUUCAGUCGAGUCGAAAAAAAAUGUGUCGUUAAAUUCGUUAAAUUACGUGCGUCUGGCAUCCCAGUUGAUCAUCACAAAAAGAAACGUCAAAAUUACGGGUUUGCGUUUGGAUUGUUUGGUUUUGUGGUUAAUUGUUUUUUUUUUCGCUUCUGAAAUGUUUCGGUUCCGUUUACCGGGAGUGUUUGUGCUUGCAAUUAAUUCGUUGAUUGAACGCGAGUUGGGUCAACACUGGCCGAGUCGUUUGCUGCAUCGAUCACGAUACCCACGACUGCCAGCCACCCAGAACAAAUCACUGUCACCAAACGAAAAUUUAAUGAUGUUCCCUGAUGCUACGGCUCCUGCUCCGCUUGAUGUAAGGCGGCAAAACUUCCGGGUCAAAUUUUCGACGACGCAUCUGCAGGAGAAAAAUAUGCGCGAGCUGGUGCGUCCAGUCUAUGGCAGAAAUACGAUGAAGCAGUUCGAACAUCUUCCUCCUUAGAAUCACCCGACGGAUGUAAACAUCUACCGGCUGUGGGGAGAAAACUAUGAUCAUCACCAACAUCCACUGGCAAUAACAUUCCAACCCUCCAACCUGUUCUUCAAUGUUUGAUUCCUUCUCAGCAGUUCCGGAUUAAAGUUUUCAUUAUGUGCAAGGCUUUGUUAAGCGGGUAGUGGAAAACACAGCUUCCAAACGCUGGGUUCCGAGAUCAUCAAUCCAUCACAAACACUCGGACAAGACCUGAUCGACAUGUGGUUCCUCUUUCGAUGUCGCAAGGUAAGCGGACACCAGUCGAUGUCAUGACUUGAAAGUGGAUAUACUUGACCUCUCUUUUCUAAACAUUUCCCAGUGAUAAUAUGACAAUGCAUAAAUUAUUACAAAUUUGCAAACUGUGCAAGUAAUGUGAAAUAGCAUUUUAUAAAUUCCGAAUAUUUAUUAACUAGAUAUUUGGUUAAAAAAAAUACUGUUUUGAUUGUUUCCCUGCUAAAAAAAUUUGCCCUUUCCUACAGAAGUUAUUUUCCAGUUGAGCUUUAUUUUUCGCUUUAAUUGUUCUUUGAUAUUUUCAGAACCCAGUCGAUUACCGAAACAACCGGUUAUGUCAAUCAACAACAAUUCUCGGAAUUGGUUUUGGCUAGCUUCAGUUUUAUUAGCUGAAGAGAAAAUUUAUGAAGUACUUCGAAAAUUUACUUAGAAUUGUAUAGUAAUGGAAUGAAGCUUAAGGGAUGACAGAGUGAGUUAUUUUAUUCAUUCGAUUUUCUUUAAUUAGUCACAUAUCGGCAGCGACUAUGUUGACAUGGUCAAAGCACAGCAGGUUCUAGUAUGAUAAGGAAGUAGGUUGAAUGCACAUAUUUGAGCGGAUUCUGGACCGAAUAAAUAAUGUCAAAGCAGUCAAUAUUUCAAAGUCUUCUACGACUCGAGUGACGUGUCUUAAGAAAAAUUUAAUAUCACUUCGUUGGCUUAAAUAGCCUCACGAAAUUUUCGUUGCUAUUAGUCUCGGAGCCCAUCGAUACUCAAAUUUUUGUUUCCUAAAGCAUUUUACACACACACACACACACACACACACACACACACACACACACACACACACACACACACACACACACACACACACACACACACACACACACACACACACACACACACACACACACACACACACACACACACACACACACACACACACACACACACACACACACACACGAACUGAAUUCUUACAUUCUAUGAAAUUUGUUUUUUUUUUUUUUUUAUAAUAGGUUAUUUACAUUGCAAAUUAUUGUCUCGUAAGUAAUAUGUUUGCGUUUCAAUUGAAAUUCAAUUUCUUACCUUAACGGUUUAAACAUUCUAUUGUUAAACAAAAAUGUUACGCAUAAAAAACUUCAAUUUUAAAUGUUGAAUAAAAAUAAUUCAUAAUUCAAACAAGGGGUUAUGAAUUAAAAAAAUAUAUGAUGACAUAGCUAUACUGUUCCUUUCUUGUAAAUGUCUUUAUUUGAAAUUACAUUAUUCCCUGCUGAGAUGAGAGUUUUGUUGACUCGAUUUGAAUUAUAUAGCCACUAUAGCUACGGAGAUUAUAUUGCGGUAUGUAAAAUUUUGCUAUCUUAAGCUUUCGAGACAUAAAUUUAACGAGAAUAAUAGCUAUAGCAUUUAUUUCUCUUAAAAGUUAUGUUUCCUAAAGUUAUGUUUACCCAACGCAAUAUCAUUUCUGUAACGAUUCAAAUUUAUGUCAAAAAAGAUGCUUCCUUUUUGUGCGUCCAAUUGGACAGAAAUUUACAUCAUCGGUGAUAUAAUAUUAUGUUGAAUGGAUCAUAUAAUUAAAGUCUGUUAAUUUAUGGCUUUAAGCGUUUCUGUCUUUCGGUGGUGUAAUUUUAUGUCAAAAGUGAUGCUUCAAUUUUGUGCAUCUAAUUUGACAUAAAUUAACAACAAAAAAUUAAUAGUGUGUACCUAUCAGACAGAAAACACUAUCUCUUCAUUUAAAUCAGCUUUCUCUUUAGAAUAAUUUUUUAGAGAGUAAUAGAAUAGUACAGACUAGAACUAAUUAAUUCACUUGUUACUAUCGAAUUGUAUUUCCUUGACCCUAACUAUGAUUUUAUAUCGAUGGGCUGACGUUAAAUCAAUAAAGCACAAUUACAAUAUUAAAUAAAAAAUUAUUUGAUUUUACAACAAAUGUCCUGUAACAAAAAGAAGCAUGACAUUUGUCGUAGUUUUACCGUUCAAAACAAAUUACUGCGUAAAAAUUACAGGUUCAAUAAUUAUUUUCAAGUUUUCAAUCCCACUUCAUCAAUUUCCUGUUCUGUUUAUAAGUAGACGAUAUCAAUCACGUUAUUUAAGUUAGAUUUAUUAUAAGUUUUAGCUUGGCUUCUUAUUAUAUAUUGAUAGAUCAUAUGAACUAACAUCCUAUUUUGCUUUUCCUUUUUUCUCUUGUCUUUUUGUAUUUCUUUUCAUGUUGCCUUCUGAUGAUGGCAAAUUCGCGUCAAGUUUGGAAAACUCGAACAACCUUCAAGCCAUCUCUUCACAACAUUGUACCCCGAAGAUGGAUUUCGCAUGAUGUGGUUGCCAUCCCAAGGAUUUAAUCAACACCUGAAAAUGGACGAAUUGCUUAACAAGAAGAAGCUUGCGCCAGACAUCGCAAUGUCUUGUAGCAGAAGAGGUAACAAAAAAAAUUAGAAGAAAAAAGCGGAAAAAUAAACAACAAAUGAAAUAAAAGUCUCUAGCUUUUUGUAAACAAACCGAAAAACCUAAAUGAAUGGCAACCAUGCUAAUCGGUCCAGAAACGGCUCAAAAAACCGUUCGGUUUCGGUCCAAAAUCGAUUCUUUUUUUCGGGUGGACGCUUGGCAAUCGGCCCGGAAACGGUUCGAAAAAUCAUUCGGUUUCGGUCGGAAAUCGGGCCGUUUUUUCGGAUGGACGCUAUGGCAAUCGGCCCAGAAACGGUUCGAAAAACCGUUCGGUUUCGGCCCGAAAUCGGUCCUUUAUUUCGGAGGGACGAUGGCAAUCGGCCCAGAAACGGUUCGAAAACCGUUCAGAUUUGGUUGGAAAACGGUCCGCUUGUUUUGACAUUUGAUCUGCUCGAACUGGUUGAAAAAACUUAUCGUCGCCCGAAAAAGUGUUUCAUUUUCGCACGAUUUUCUACUAAAUUCGGCCCGAUUUCUUAUACGAUUUCGGACCGAUCGAGCAGAUGUA